CUGACAUUUUGCGUGGCUACAGACUGCUCGACGUGGGAGAAGACCAUAUUUUCAGUACAACCAGGAGGGCUGAGGUGAAGGUUGCUGUUGCAAUGGUGCAGCACAAUGUUCCCUUUGCCGUUGCUGACCAUUUCAGCCCCUUGUACAAAGAAUGUUUUAGAGACUCCCCUACAGCUCAGGGCUUUAAGAUCGCAAGCACAAAAACAACGUGCCUCAUAAAUGAAGCAGUGGCACCUCAUUUUAAGAAGGAACUGGUGAUGAAGAUGAGAGAGAAUCCCUUCACACUUGUCACAGAUGGCUCGAAUGAUACUGGUCUAGAGAAGAUGAAUCCUCUCACUGUCAGAAUUUUUGACACCAACAAAGUUGUGCACAGGUUCCUUGAUA